GGUUAAGCGACUAAGCGUACACGGUGGAUGCCCUGGCAGUCAGAGGCGAUGAAGGACGUGCUAAUCUGCGAUAAGCGUCGGUAAGGUGAUAUGAACCGUUAUAACCGGCGAUUUCCGAAUGGGGAAACCCAGUGUGAUUCGUCACACUAUCAUUAACUGAAUCCAUAGGUUAAUGAGGCGAACCGGGGGAACUGAAACAUCUAAGUACCCCGAGGAAAAGAAAUCAACCGAGAUUCCCCCAGUAGCGGCGAGCGAACGGGGAGCAGCCCAGAGCCUGAAUCAGUGUGUGUGUUAGUGGAAGCGUCUGGAAAGGCGCGCGAUACAGGGUGACAGCCCCGUACACAAAAAUGCACAUACUGUGAGCUCGAUGAGUAGGGCGGGACACGUGGUAUCCUGUCUGAAUAUGGGGGGACCAUCCUCCAAGGCUAAAUACUCCUGACUGACCGAUAGUGAACCAGUACCGUGAGGGAAAGGCGAAAAGAACCCCGGCGAGGGGAGUGAAAAAGAACCUGAAACCGUGUACGUACAAGCAGUGGGAGCACGCUUCGGCG
rnacentral:rRNA from 1 species